AGGAUCAAAUAUCUGUAUUCUUGGAUCUUGCUAUAUGCUGAUGUCUUAAAAACCUAGUAUAUAUAGAAAUUCUGGGAUGUGUUUGUUGAUGUAGAAAUCCCUAGUUCUAUAUGUUUUGGAUGAUAAUCAUUUUUCCAGGCAAUGUGGAGCAACUUGCUCUAAAAGAUGCUGUUUUAGCUAUUUCUUUUUCUUUUUCUCAGAAAAAAAUUAAAAAAAAAAUCAACUGUUAUAGUAUUAUUUAUUGUGGAAAGUUGUAAACUGCAGGAGUGCAGGGUAUAAUACAAAUUCUGACAGUGAAUUUGAUUCGUUGCAGAUGUCUUAUGUUUCCAGCAUGAUUUAGUAUGUGUUGUCUAUGUGUUUCGAUGGAUUUGUAUUUGGGAUUAGAUUCAUAGUGCUUAGGAGCAAUAUAAUGGAGGAAAUGGUUGGAGAGAGCUUUCUUCAGUCCACUCAUGGGUCGGGGAAGGGUUUGAAUUAGCUGCCGACUCAUUCAUUCAAACACAGUAGAUUGAAGUUAGUACGUUACUGUGAAUGUGUGAAUGAUGCGGGAGAUAAGUUUCAUCCUUCCCUCGUCUGUGCUUGGACUGAAGGGAGCUCCCUCUUGCCGUAAUCGUUACUUAUAUGUGUAUGAUUUUGUUGUUUCUGGCGAUUGUGCUUUGUGUAUUUUCUGAUCUUAAGCUUUGGGUUUUGUCUCUUAUGAUUCGAUAUUAUGACAUAUAUAAAUGCAAGUAAUUAUAAUUGAUUUAGUCAGUGGAUUUUGGGGACUAUGGUUGAGAAGCGAUUGGGGUUCAUGGUAAUAAGAUCUUCAAUUUGUGUUCCUUUAAUGGCUCUUUGCUUUUCGUUUUUCCCUAGUAGUAUUUAGCAUGCUGUUGAGAUGAACUGAAUACGAACUUUGCGUUAUUAGUAGGAAUGAUAUCCCGGUCCCUUGCAUUUCAUACAUUAUUAGCCAAGUGUCGAAGAAACUAAACUCAUUUGAAUCAUAUUCUUGCCUGUAAAGUGUUUCUAUAUGUGAUUUUGUGAUUAGAGAGAUGUGGUUUCUUUCCUAUUUAAUGUUUCUUGUUUUCGAUUUCUUCGUAUGUUGUUUGUUGUGCUCGGCAAUGGGAUAAGACCUAAUGAAAAGCUGAUUAUUGGCUUCUGUUUCUUGGUAGUCUGAUGUUAUUGCAGAGUAAAUUGAUCGGUUUAGGCUCUCGAGAGCUUCCAUUUCUGAAGUGGAACUCAGAGAUCGGUCACUGGUAAUUACUUUGACUUUGCUCUGAAACUAAAAUCGAUCUAUUGAUAGAUUUGUGUAGUUUGCUUCCUGGGAGAGUUGUGAUUUGUGAACCGGUAUGUUUUCAACAUCACAACGUUAUUGUGUUGAUCUUUGUGGCACUACUUUUCCUGCGUUGCUUCACUGUUUCAGUCGAACCAAACCCCGACUUUUGCUUUGUUUUUCUUGCUAUUGUUCUCAAUAACUUCUCGUGUUUAGUUUCUUCACCUCAGAGGUCGUUUGGGGUUUUCUCAAAAAUUUAAUUUUUGAUAAAGUAAUUCUGAGUUUUUUUUUAUAUCUUUAUUGCUAGUAACAAUUUGUUUGGAGAAGUAUACACAUGGGAUGUGGUUUGGAUUUACUCAUUUACUUCUCCUGAUUUCGAAGUACCGUAUUCUCAAUUUACUAAAUUUUCAGAAAAAAAAUUGAACUUUCUUCUAAGUACCAAAGGCUUGAUCAAACUAAAACCUAUCUAUCUUUGAUAUGAUGUUAGGUUAUUUGGUUGGAAACCUCUUUUUCAUAUGAUGUAUAGGGCAUUAUAAGACUUGCUAGUUGAUUAAUCUAAUCGAUUCAACUCCAUGUUAGGAGGGAUUUAUAGUUUACUCAAAUCAUUUUUACAUAAAAUAUCAAGCAAGUCUUUGCGAUUGUCUCAUGUGAAAUGUGUAAUACUUUUAAACUAUUAAAAGUAUUACACAUCUCACGAUUUUAUGCGAAAUUUAUUUUGAAAUAGAGUUUUACUACAUGCAUUUUCAAAUACCCAUCAAUUUUACUCACUAUGUGGCGGGUUCUAUUAAGUUAUAUUUUCAUGUGGAUCUCAAUAAAGUGUAUACAUCAAGAUAAUAAAUUGUAACCGAGUCAUUAGUACUAAAAAAAAUUAUAUAUAUCAAAAUUUUGUGUGUAAUAAUAAAAGUUGAGAGUAUAAAUUGGGAGUAAAUAUAAAUUUUUUAAAAAUAUCUAGCAUAUCUUUAAUCUAUAUACAUGGCAUUGGUACUUGUAGCUAAGAAAAUACUUAUUUAUUGAAGUUUAUUGAAAUUUGUGAACAUUUUUCAGAGAAAAUGUGUUCAUGUGGUGUUUCAAGUACAAUGCGGAUGCUAUUGUGUCUAUUACUAUAUUCCACCAACUUUGAUACUCUCCACCAUCCAAUUUUUAUUAUCCAACUUGAUUGCACACACCAACCAAGUUGUACUAAGCUUUUUAAAUGUCAAAAUUAAAAAAAAAAAAAAACUCUUAAAUACACCCGACGAAACAUAUGUUUUUAAACAUUUGUGUUUGGUGCUUAAUCUAGAAAGAAUGCGUAGUUUUGGUGUGUGGUUGUAUUGUAAGGUGUUAUUAAUCUUUUGUGUUUUAUGUAUUGUAAUUAAUUAGUUAUGGUUGGUCAUUAUACUCACUGUUUCAUUUUAUGUGUGAAGUAACGAAGUUUUACCUAUGACUUAAUCAACACGAUUUUUGUCAUUCAAUGUAGUAUCUGUUCAUAGUUACUUUCUCAACCAAAUGAUGCACAAAGAGUCAAUAUCGUCUAUACUGAAGAUCGAACCCACCCUCUCCGAUGUGAGAAUGCAAACGAAUGUUUCUAGACCACAAGGGUCUUUGGCGUCAUUCUAGAAUAUAUAGAAAGCAUGAUCGAUGUUGGGAGAGGAUUGUUUAGGAGGAGACUUGGAAGAUCGACCUCAACACCUUACCAUCAAAAUGUAGCGUCGAGUCAAGUAUAAAAGUAUGGAGUUUUAAUUUAUUCUUUGUGAUUGGUGAAAUCGUUGCCCAAUUGAUCUCUCAAUAUUCUGAAAAUAAGCCAAGUACAGCAACAACUAACAGCUACUCUGAUCUUCUUGGUUGUUUUCCCCUUUGUAUUUUGUUUUUGUGAAGGAGAUUGUUGUUCUGUUAUUAGUUUGUGCAUGAAAACGACAUUUGGCUCCAGCCAACAUAUCUAUCGCCCAUGUAUAGUGACAAGAAGAUA